rnacentral:rRNA from 1 species
UUGACCUCGGAUCAGGCAGGGAUACCCGCUGAACUUAAGCAUAUCAAUAAGCGGAGGAAAAGAAACCAACAGGGAUUGCCUCAGUAACGGCGAGUGAAGCGGCAACAGCUCAAAUUUGAAAUCUGGCUCUUUUAGGGUCCGAGUUGUAAUUUGUAGAGGAUGCUUCGGCGUGGGCUCCGGUCUAAGUUCCUUGGAACAGGACGUCAUAGAGGGUGAGAAUCCCGUAUGUGAUCGGUUGCCUUUGCCAUGUGAAGCUCCUUCGACGAGUCGAGUUGUUUGGGAAUGCAGCUCUAAAUGGGAGGUAAAUUUCUUCUAAAGCUAAAUACUGGCCAGAGACCGAUAGCGCACAAGUAGAGUGAUCGAAAGAUGAAAAGCACUUGGGAAAGAGAGUCAAAAAGUACGUGAAAUUGUUGAAGGGGAACGCUA